UUUAUUGGAGAGUUUGAUCCUGGCUCAGGAUGAACGCUGGCGGCGUGCCUAAUACAUGCAAGUCGAGCGAAUGGAUUGAGAGCUUGCUCUCAAGAAGUUAGCGGCGGACGGGUGAGUAACACGUGGGUAACCUGCCCAUAAGACUGGGAUAACUCCGGGAAACCGGGGCUAAUACCGGAUAACAUUUUGGACUGCAUGGUUCGAAAUUGAA
rnacentral:rRNA from 1 species